rnacentral:rRNA from 1 species
ACGGAGGAUCCGAGCGUUAUCCGGAUUUAUUGGGUUUAAAGGGAGCGUAGGCGGAAGUUUAAGUCAGUUGUGAAAGUUUGCGGCUCAACCGUAAAAUUGCAGUUGAUACUGGAUUUCUUGAGUGCGGUAUAGGUAGGCGGAAUUCGUGGUGUAGCGGUGAAAUGCUUAGAUAUCACGAAGAACUCCGAUUGCGAAGGCAGCUUACUGGACCGUAACUGACGCUGAUGCUCGAAAGUGCGGGUAUCAAACAGGAUUAGAUACCCUGGUAGUCCGCACAGUAAACGAUGAAUACUCGCUGUUGGCGAUACACAGUCAGCGGCCAAGCGAAAGCAUUAAGUAUUCCACCUGGGGAGUACGCCGGCAACGGUG